UACGGAGGGUGCAAGCGUUAAUCGGAAUUACUGGGCGUAAAGGGCGCGUAGGCGGCCUGUUAAGUCGAACGUGAAAUCCCUGGGCUCAACCCAGGAACUGCCGUCCGAUACUGGCAGGCUUGAAUUCGGGAGAGGGAUGCGGAAUUCCAGGUGUAGCGGUGAAAUGCGUAGAUAUCUGGAGGAACACCGGUGGCGAAGGCGGCAUCCUGGACCGAUAUUGACGCUGAGGCGCGAAAGCCAGGGGAGCAAACGGGG
rnacentral:rRNA from 1 species